GCGGACUGUGCAACCAGGUCACAGUAGCCACAAAGACUGCUAGCUCCUCACAGGGAACCAGCAUUUUAUUUUCAGUGAGUUGUUAUUUUUUUCCUCAAGAAACGCACCAAAAGCGCAGACCCCACAUUUUUUGUGGGGCCUGCCCAAAACCAUGAUUUCCACGAAAAUCACAAUUUCCGUGAAAAGCACAAAAUCGUGAUUUUGUGCCACACAUCUACACAAGCAGCUGCAGAGAAAUUACAAAAUAGCCCCCGUCUAUCUUUGCUUUUAUUUUAUGGUAUUUGGAUUUUAUCAUCUUAACAGAUUCAAUAGAUGAAGCUCUCCAGAAGUUCAUGUUUGCCUGCCCACAUGUAUCUUCACAGAAUUUCUCCCCCAAAAGUUUCCUCCUGAUGGAUUUUAUUUGGAAGGAAUAAUAUGACCUAGUUAAGUGUAGUGUCACUUCAAUUCUCUCCUCUUCUCCCUCCCAGUUUUUCAUAAGCUUAAUGGGUGCUUCUACAUGUGAUGGGGUUUAAUCCUCAUUAAAUUAAAUAGGUUUAUUACAUUUAAAAUGGUUUGUUUUAAAUUGAGGUGUCAAUGUAUAAAGGUGACAGCCUUUAAAUUGAAUUAAGAUCAGUAUGCAAUUCACAUUAAAUUAAAGCAGAGGGAGCCACAUAACAAUCCAGCCUACUGUUGCCUUUGGUACUAGAUUACAGCAGGAGGUGCUGUCAAACCAUUAAUCCCUGGACCAGUGGGGGCAAGUGCUGUCAGCCUACUGCAGGGGAUCCUUCAUGUGUGCUCUACCACCCCACCCCUCCCCAUGCCUACAGCCAUUGCCCCAGCCCCAGCCAUUGCUCUACACACACCUACUGCACCCUCGGACCACACAGCCCCCAUCCCUGCACCAUGCAGCCCCACUCCAUCCCACCAUGUGCCUUGCCCUAUGCCCACACUGCACAGCUUUGCCUAUCCACCCAUAGGUGCCCUGCCCCUUGCAGCCCCCCAGCCCCACCUGGCACUUCCAACUCUCAGCACCAUGAGGACUCCAGGUGGCCUGUGGUUGGCAUUGAUUCCCAUGCCAAGCCACUUGCAUCCUCUCCCACACCCCCAAACCAUUUGAACUGCCAUGCCAUUCUGCCUAUGAAAGAAAACACGCCACAUCUUUAUUUUUAAUCUUUAUUUAACUUUUUUUUUAAGGACAGGACUAUAUACAUUUAAAAAAACAAUAUAAAAUGCAGUAUACAACAAAAUAAAUAGCUCUUAGUAAGAAAUGCCUUUAAGAAAAUAAAUGUCUUUUUAAAAAAUAAGACCCUGGGAGUGGCUCUAGAAAGCAGCAUCCACCAUGCAAGGGGUUUCUGGAAGGCAAUUAUAAGAAACAUGAAAGUUACCCCAAAAUAUUAAAGUACUAAGAAGAGGUGUCACACACCCUCAAUUGCAAACUUACCAUUUGCUGCUGCUGCUUCUCUCCUUAUCUGUUGCCUGGUCCAUGGACCACCACCACUGCAGGGUACCACACAGUAGUAGUCGGGGGCAUGGGGAGUGUCACAGGGAAGAACAGGAGAGAGGGCCCCAAAGUACAAAUGGGGACCCUCAGGGGCAGAAGCCCCCCAGGAAAAAGGAAGCCAAAAAAAAUAAAGAGCAACACUUACCUGCAGCAGGACCCACGGCUGCAGCAGGACCCAUGGCGCAGCCGGAACCAGGGGAAAGACCCGCACAGAUCAUAAGCCAUGCCUUUACACAGCUGCGGCCAGCUGGUGACGUCAUCGACAAUCACCGGCCAGCGAGAAUAAAGUGGACCACCGGCGAAGGUGGAGGAGGAGAGAGACCGGGGCCGGCGAAGGCACCAACACUGGGUGCCCUCUGGAAGCCCCUCUGGGUGAGAGAGCUGCAGAUGCUCCCUGCCCCAGUGGAGGUCAACUCUCCAAGGGGAGCCGGGAGCCAGAAACUGCUCCUGACAGCAUCGGCGGCAGCGAAAGGAGCCAGGAACCAGAAGGUGCUCCUAACAAUGGAGAAGGUGUCAAAAGGAGCCAGGAGAUGGAAGGGGAUCCUGAUGCCAGCAGCACCGACAGAGGGGCCGGAGAGACGAACACAACUUUCCACACCACAGCAGGUGGGACCGUUGAGAGUACCAGGGAGGCGGAAGAGACACGCCCUCCAGGAGGCAUCAGAUGAAGGCAGCGUGAGGGGCUGCAGAGUGAGGCCAGAAGAGGCAGGGUGCCAACCCUGCAUGUGAAGAGUGGUCAGGUGGCUGCAAAAGGGCUGCAAGGUGCCUGGAGAGACGGGAGGCUGGGUGACGGGGCAGACAAGCUGUGCCUGGUAUCACAGGCUACCCCAGCCCCACACAUGGUAUAACCCACAACAAAAUUCAGAGGGAGGUGGGCGGCUGGUAUCCUGGCAUAAGGACCUGGGAAGGGACUGCACAGGUCCCUUGUAACAUGGUAGUGGGGUUUUUUAAUAUGUUCUUUGUGUUUCCCCCUUUUUGGAGGGCUUGAGGGGCAUGUCCAGGGGGUGCAGGCAGGAUGAUGGAGGCAAGAGCUCCUUUGAGCUCUAUCGUUGCUUGAGGCCUGGGUCAGGCUCCUAGUCCUGGGGAAGGGGGGCCGGCCUUGUGACCCAAGGGAGACCUCUCAGGCAAUCCGGCACCAUCCAAGCGAGUCACCCUGUAGGAGCUUGUACAUUAGACAGGAGAGGGCCACACAGGCAGCCAUAGCUAGGGACACAACGGUGUUGGGAGCAUAGCCAGGAAAACUACACUGAUCCGCCAAGGCUUGGUGUGAGGUCGGGGUGUAGGGGAGGUGGAGCCCUGCAGAAGACCGCCAAAUGAACGCUCUGCUGCUGAGAGACCCCAACUGGUCAGCCCCCCCACUGAUAAAAUAUUCAAAGUUGUGGCAGGAGAGACUGGGGGAGACCGCACCAGGAGUAAACAUCUUCUCAACAGCCCACAGGAAACGGUAGGGCAAACGCCACUGGCCAUCCGGGCCAGAGUUGCACAUAACUGAAUGUUCGAGGCUAGGCAGACACAGGGACUUUGGGGUUUGUCCCUCCAUGUUUCUUUCUUCUGUUUAUGGACUACAUUUCCCAGCAGCCCCCGCCCUUGCAUCUUGAGCCAGUUUCCAUGGAGACCCUGAAGUAGCUGCACUGUGUGAUAGUGUGGCCCAGGAGUUUCCAUGGAUAAUAACCCAGAUACGCGCAGCUGUGUGCACAGCUCUGUGCAAUUCUGGGGUGGCUAUAGCCCCCCACUCUUAAUGCCAGACCUGCUGGCUGAGCACACAGCAUGGCAUGGAGCUGCAUCAUGUGGAGCAGCAGCAUGGUGUGGAGUUCCAUCACAGCAUAUCCAGAAAUAACUGUAUAAAAUUGAAACCAUUAUUUGCUUCCUGAAAAUAUUAUUGGCACUUUACUUGGGUAUAUAAAUAUAAACAGCAUUAAAAAUUUAUAAAAUAAUAAUACUAUCGCAAAAAAAAUUAAACACACAUUAUAAAAAUAUAAAUUUGCCUUUUCUGCCUUAUUUACAAAAUAAAUAAAUGAUAAGUACUUAUAUACAUGUAAGAUUAAAUAAAUAUGAAAUAGACAACCUGCAGAAACAACAAAAAGAAACUUUCAUUACUUUAUACUAUAUUCUAUCCUAUUCCUAUUCUAUAUUCUAAUAUAUUCUAUAUUCAAUAUUAUCUAUUCUCUCUAUCCUGUCUUCUAUAUUCUCUACUCUGUUCACUACUCUCUAUUGUAUAUUCUAUUAAUCAAUUCUAUUCUAUUGUAUGUCUGUUCUACAGUAAAAUCUCUGUUAUCCGGCAUCCAUGGGGAAUGGGGGUGCCGGCUAAUCAAAUAUGCCAGU